UACAGAGGGUGCAAACGUUGCUCGGAAUCAUUGGGCGUAAAGCGCACGUAGGCGGCCCAGCAAGUGGGGAGUGAAAGCCCUCGGCUUAACCGAGGAAGUGCUUUCCAAACUACUGGGCUUGAAUACUGGAGAGGGUCGCGGAAUUCCUGGUGUAGCGGUGAAAUGCGCAGAUAUCAGGAAGAACACCCGUGGCGAAGGCGGCUCUCUGGGACGGUACUGACGCUGAGACGCGAAAGCGUGGGGAGCGAACAGG
rnacentral:rRNA from 1 species